AAAUCUGUUCUCUGGAACUUGCAAGAAAACUGUCCUCUAUGGCAUGAGAGAAUGAGAGAAAGUCAUUCACAGAGAGGUUUCUUACUGGAGGCACUCUGCUACAAAAUUUCCAAAGGCGGGGACACUGGGGAAAGUUGCUGGCCUUGUGGUGCUGCUGGCUGCUGUGCACUGCAGGAUCGGCAUCCUGGAGUAGCUGCCUGCAUAGUAGGAGGCUGCUAAGUGACCACACCUGAAUCAGGAAAAGCAUCCCUCGGGAGCAUGAGGAAGAAGGCGACAUUCUCAGGAUGGUGGAGAGAGAAGCUAGGAGACUGGAUAUGUGAUGUCCCACUGGUGCUCCCCUGUUAACUCUGAUCUGCCUUUCUUCCUAUUCCUCAUUAAAAAAAACAAUCUCUGUCUUGACUGGGGCACUUUUAUUUAUUUUUGGUUCCCUGCAGUUGAAUUUAAUUCCCACUGAUAGAACUGUGUCUAGUGCAAAGACUCAUCUGGGUAUGAUUGUCAUGAGAUCACUUUAGCCAAUAAACAGAAAUUAUGUGAAAUCUUUUUUGUGUGUGUGUGUGACAAUCUCACUCUGUUGCCCAGGCUGGAGUGUAGCGGUACAGUCAUAGCUCACUGCAGCCUCGAACUCUUGGGCUCAAGCCAGCCUCUCACCUCAGCCACCCAAAGUGCUGGGAUUAUAGAUAGAAGGUACUACGUCCAGCCAAAAAUCACUUUUCAUAGUUUACACACAUUGACUUUCUUAGAUGACAGGCAAGUCAUGAUUAUAAAAAAAAAUAUUUCUGAGCACUUUUUACCCAAUAUGUUUUUUUAAAGUUUGAUAUCUAACACCUGUACAAAAAUGGACAGUCAUAUGUUGUACAUCUCAAAGAAUUUUCAGAAGUUGGACACAAACAUGUAACCACCCAGAUCAAGAAAUGAUAUUAUUCACACCCCGGAAGCACCCCCUCAAUUACCCAUUCAGUCAGCACUUAUACAAAGGAAACUGCUUACUGACUUUUAAUGACGUAGAUAGUUUUGCCAAUUUUUGAGUGUUACAUAAGUGGCAUCAUAUAGCAUUUGGUUUUGGUGUCUGCCCUCUGUUAACAUGUUUGUGAAUUCCUUCAUAUCAUUGCCCUGGGAAGACACGGGCCAAGCUCAAAUCCUGAGGAACAGCUUGAGGGAAAUGAUGCAUGUGAGAUGAACAGGCAUUGCUUUUCACUGGUGUAUGCUGGGAAGAAGCAGUCCAUGGCCAGGUUGAGUAGCUGCCAGCCCAUCACAUUCAUCAGGAAGCUCAUCUGCAACUCUGAUACACAGAGCCAAGGUUCUGCGGCCAGAAGGAUGGCUGAGAUUCUCUAGACAAUAACUCAUUUGGACUCACAAACCUUUUGAAUCAUUGUAAUGAUCCUUUGGCACUUUGUGGAAAAUGAGUUCUGUCCUCUGUACAUAAAAAGGUGUGUUCAACCAAGUGUGGUGGCUUACCCUUGUAGUCCCAGGACUUUGGGAGGCCAAGCCAGGCAGAUUACCUAAGGUCAGGAGUUUGAGACCAGCCUGGUCAACAUGGAGAAACCCUGUUUCUACUAAAAAUACAGAAAUUAGCCGGGCAUGGUUGCACUCACCUGGAAUCCCAGCUACUUAGUAGGCUGAGGCAGGAGAAUUGCUUGAACUCGGGAGGCAGAGGUUGCAGUGAGCUGAGAUUGCACCACUGCACUCUGCCCUGGGUAACAGCAAGACUUUGUCUCAAAAAAGAAAAAAAAACCUUUGUGGUCAACUUAAUAUGGGCCAGCCCUUUGAGUUAUAUUCAUUAUAGUAUAUAGGAAUGUUUUAUGCAUUUUUCUGGAUGUCUGUAGUAUUUCAUAAUAAAAACACAUGCAAGGGACAUUUAAGUUACUAAAUGAAAUAAGUUAAUAUAUAUAGAGUAAAUUGCUUAUUUGUUCUUCUGGUAGACUGCAUUAUUUGUUCAAAACAUUUGCAGCCACUCCAUCUCAGUCCUUCCUAGCAGGCUCUCCCUACAAGUCAUCCUUGCUGGAGGAUUCUAUUUCCCAUGACAUUGACAUUAGGUGCAGCCAUGGGAUUUACUUUAGCCAAUGCAAGAUGAGUGGGAGUGGCCUGUGGCACUCCAGAACAGAAACUUUCAGAGCAAGAGGAUGGUUCUGCCACUUCUCUUUUCCCUCUGCCAGGAUAAUGUCAAUGUUCCAGAUAACAGUUGCUCCUGCAGUCUGAAUCUCAGGAUGACGAGGGCCUGGGGAAGAGCUACAGCUGAUGUGUAAUGUGAGUGAGAAAUAGGCCAUGGUGGUGGGAAGGUGCUAAGAUCUUGGGGUUCUUUGUUCUGCAGCAUAACCUGGUGAAAUCUGACUGAUAGGCACAUGGAAUGUUUUCACACCAUAAUAGCUAGUUAAAAUAAAUAGAAGAGUCCUCUGGGCUAAUCCUGACUUCUGUAGAUAAGGAGGUGAAGGGAAGAUAAUUAACAAACACCUAGCCUCGAAUUUCUCUUUUGUAAAGGGACUUUGGAAUUAACUUGAAAAAUUGGGGUAGGGUGCACUCUGACUUGUACCCAUAUCAAAAAUCAACUUUCUGCAUGGUCAAGUAUCAGAGAAAUUUAAGCCCUCUAGCCUUUUUUUUUUUUUUUUUUUUAUUAGAGUAAAUAAUUUUUGGCUGGGCACGGUGGCUCAUGCUUUUAAUCCCAGCACUUUGAGAGGCCGAGGCAGGUGGAUCACCUGAGGUUGGGAGUUCAAGACCAGCCUGGCCAGAACCAUGAAACCCUGUCUCUACCAGAAAUACAAAAUUAGCUGGGCAUGGUGGCAGGUGCCUGUAAUCCCAGCCACUUGGGAAGCUGAGUCAGGAGAAUCACUUGAACCUGGGAGGUGGAACUGAGAUCGCAACGUUACACUCUAGCCUGGGCAACAGAGGGAGACUGGUUUCAAAAAAAAGAAAAGAUUAAAUAAUUUAAAAAAUAGAUAUUUUUGUAAAAGACACACUGGGAGGAGGAGGUAAGAGUUACAACAAAAGAGUUAAUAAGGUCUUGUUCAAGGAAAAGUGGAGUCAUAAAGUACCUCCUGGACAUUAGAAAUACUGGUGCUUAUGGGCUAGCCGCGGUGGCUCACACCUAUAAUCCCAGCACUUUGGGAGGCCGAGGUGGGUGGAUCAUGAGGUCAAGAGAUCGAGACCAUCCUGGUCAACAAGGUGAAACCUCGUCUCUACUAAAAAUACAAAAAUUAGCUUGGCAUGGUGGUGUUUGCCUGUAGUUUCAGCUACUCAGGAGGCUGAGGCAGGAGAAUUGUUUGAACCUAGGAGGCGGAGGUUGUGGUCAGCUGAGAUCAUGCCAUUGCACUCCAGUUUGGGUAACAACAGCGAAACUCCGUCUCCAAAAAAAGAAAUACUGGUGCUUACAAAUUUGUUACAGGAUCAGGAGACAGAAUAAAAGGAACAAAAUGGAAAGGAGAAAGUGAAAUGUAAAACACUAUAGGAAAAGCAAGGAAACUUUUAAAAUACUAUAAUUUUUAAAUUUUUAAGUUAAAAAAACUUUAAAUUAUUUUGUAGAGAUGGGAUCUCACUAUGUUGGCCAGGCUGUUCUUAGACUCCUGGGUUCAAAUGAUCCACCACCUUGGCCUCUGAAAGUGCUGGGACUACAGGCAUGAGAUACCUCGCACGGUGAGAAUACCGUAUUUAUAUACAACUUGAUAAACUCCCUGAUGUUGCAGAGGAAGUGAAAAAGAACAUCAUUAAACCUGUAAAGCCUGGUUGCUGCUCACCUGAAGGCCACACAGAGUCACCCUUGUGAGAUAGGACUGGCAGCAUCUCUCUAUCCUUGUGUUAUGAUUUGGAGGCACUGUGUUCUCUCCUCACCACAUGUGUGUGUGUGUGUGUAUAUAUAUAUAUAUAUAUAUAUACAUUUUAUUUUAUUUUAUUUUAUUUUUUUUUAGAUCGAGUCUUGCUAUCACCCAGGCUGGAGUGCUGCAGUGGUACCAUCUAGGCUCACUGCAACCUAUGCCACCUGGGUUCCAGCAGUUCUCCUUCCUCAGCCUCCCGAGGAGCUGGGAUUACAGGUAUAUGCCACCAUACCCAGCUAAUUUUGUAUUUUUAGUAGGAGUGGGGUUUCUCUAUGUUGGUUAGGCUGGUCUUGAACUCCCAACCUCAGUUGAUCCUUCCGCCUUGGCCUCCCAAAAUGCUGAGAUUACAGGCAUGAGCCACUGCCUUUUUUUUUUUUUUUUUUUUUUUGAGGCAGAGUGUAGCUCUUGUUGCCUAGGCUGGAGUGCAAUGGUGUUAUCUCUGCUCACUGCAACCUCUGCCUUUCAGUUCAAGCAAUUCUCCUGCCUCAGCCUCCCAAGUAGCUGGGAAUACUCAGGAAGUACUCGGGGUGCAUGCCACCCCGGCCGGCUGAUUUUCGUAUUUUUAAUAGAGAUGGGGUUUCACCAUGUUGGCCAGGAUGAUCUUGAUGUCUUGACCUCAUGAUCUGCCCGCCUUGACCUCCCAAAGUGUUGUGAUUACAGGCGUGAGCCACCGAACUGGGCAAAUGUUAUUUCUUAAUUACAAUAAAUAAUGCAUGGAUAUAUGUGCAUAAGAAACAAAAGUCAACUAAGAAAGAAUAGAGCAAAAAGCUUAAGUCCUCUGUAUUAGUUCGCUAGGACUUACCUAACAAAAUACCAGCUGGGUGGCUUAAAAAGGGAAAUGUGUAUUCUCAGAGUCCUAGAGCCUUGAGGUCUCUGAUAAGAGCUUGACAGGUUGGGCUUUUUCUGAGGCCUCUCGCCUUGGUUUGUGGAUGGCCACUCUCUUGCUGCCUCUUCACAAGACUGUACCUCUGUACACAAGUGCCCUGAUGUUUCUGUGUGUGCCCAGAUUUCCUUUUUUAAGAACAUCAUGUCCAGGCGUGGUGGCUCAUGCCUGUAAUCCCAGCGCGUUUGGAGGGAGGCAGGGGUUGGAGUGAACCGAGAUUGCAUUCGGACCUACCCUCGUGGCCCCAUUUUAACUUAAUCACCCCUCUAAAGGCCAUAACUCCAAAUACAAUCACAUUUGGAGGUACUGGGUUCUACGGAUUUGACAUUGAAUUUGGGGGUACAUAAUUCAACCCAUAACACCCCUUUUCUCCUGUUUCCCCUCAAGUCCCAGCCUCUUCCUGGAAGUAAGUGAUGAACAAGGUGUGCUUGUAACAUUGGUGGGGUAAUCAAAUAGAGGCUGGGAAGGUUUCUGUAAACCGAACUGACGAGCAGUUGAAUAAAAAUGUUCUGUCCUCCUAUCUGGACAAAUGUGCCUUUAUAAUGACGUGGAAAGUCAGAUUUGGAUUUAGAAUAUCUUGACUCUCCACUAGUUCCUUGCCAGAAUGUGGCAGUAAGGCCUCCCUUUUCUUCCCAUGCCCAGCUCUGUCUGCAUCACAAAGGCCUCCUUAUGCACAUGUGUAUGGAGACUCACAUUCAGAUUCCUCUACACCCUCCUCAAACAGCCACCUAUUACUUAUUGGUUGGGCCUAGCAGUGGUCAUGAUAGUGGUACGCUCCAUCCUCAAGAGGACAUACCUAGGCUAAAACCCUCCCGUUCUUGAGAUGUUGACAUUAGGUGCCCUUUUGUGAAUAUGGGAAAGGAAGCAUGGAUAAAGGGAAAGCUGGAGUGCAAACCAGACUGGUUUGAUCUCAGCUCACUGCAAACUCCGCCUCCCGGGUUCAAGCAAUUCUUCUGCCUCAGCCUCUGGAGUAGCUUGGAUUCCAGAGACAAGGACUCCCUAUACCCAGGAUGGUCUCAAACUCCUGGCCUCAAGCAGUCCUCCCAUUUGGCCUGCCAGAAUGCUGGGUGUGAGCCACUGUGUGUGGCCAGAGAAGUUACUUUUAAGGAGUGAUAUUUGCUUGCU